CCUUCCUCCUCUGGUUAUUUCCGGGGAAAAGAUAGAAACAGAACAUCUGCCUAUCAUCAAAAUCUCGCAGAAGUGGGGACUGCAAGAACACACCACCAAAUAAGUCCUUCGAGGGGACAGAAUAUGAAAAAUUAAAGUCAGCACUUGACCAAGUUGGUACUUCUGCUUCAUAUAAGAAACCCAUUUUACCAACCUCACGCCUUAGCUCCUUUAGAGUGUGUAAAGACAGCCAAUGGUUAGUUCAAGGACUUACAGAAUAUGAAAAAUUAAAGUCAGCACU
rnacentral:misc_RNA from 1 species